UACCAGCUCUCCGAGUGGUAGGGAUGAUUAUUGGGCUUAAAGCGUCCGUAGCCGGCUUAGCAAGUUUCCUGUUAAAUUCAGCGACCUGAUCGUUGAGCCGCGGGAAAUACUACUAGGCUAGGAGGCGGGAGAGGUCGACGGUACUUCUGGGGUAGGGGUGAAAUCCUAUAAUCCCGGGAGGACCACCAGUGGCGAAGGCUGUCGACUAGAACGCGCUCGACGGUGAGGGACGAAAGCUGGGGGAGCGAACCGGAUUAGAUACCCGGGUAGUCCCAGCUGUAAACGAUGCGGGCUAGGUGUUGGGGUGGCUACGUGCCACUUCAGUGCCGCAGGGAAGCCAUUAAGCCCGCCGCCUGGGGAGUACGGCCGCAAGGCUGAAACUUAAAGGAAUUGGCGGGGGAGCACCACAAGGCGUGAAGCUUGCGGUUC
rnacentral:rRNA from 1 species